rnacentral:ncRNA from 2 species
GAGCGAACAGGGAAUGCGGUGCGGAACGAAUGUUCCAAAGCCGCAGCUGCCCCCGCAACUGUAGGCGGUGAGCCCGUACCAAAUUGCCACUGGGACAACCCCGGGAAGGCGGUCACGGGCGGCGAGCCGCGAGCCAGGAGACCUACCGGCGAUUCGGUCGUGGC